rnacentral:rRNA from 1 species
CCUACGGGGGGCUGCAGUGAGGAAUAUUGCACAAUGGGGGAAACCCUGAUGCAGCGACGCCGCGUGUGGGAUGAAGGGGCUUCGCCUCGUAAACCACUGUAGCCCGGGACGAAAGACACCCUCGGGGUGGAAGACGGUACCGGGAAAGUAAGGGUCGGCUAACUACGUGCCAGCAGCCGCGGUAAUACGUAGGACCCAAGCGUUGUCCGGAUUCACUGGGUAUAAAGGGUGCGCAGGCGGGUAGGUAAGUCAGGGGUGAAAGUCUGCAGCUUAAC